CCCCUAGAUGUUCUGGGCCGCACGCGCGCUACACUGAACAGUUCAACAAGUCUUAACCUUGGCCGAUAGGUCUGGGUAAUCUUUGAACGCUGUUCGUGAUUGGGAUAGACCUUUGCAAUUAUGGGUCUUCAACGAGGAAUUCCUAGUAAACGCAAGUCAUCAGCUUGCAUUGAUUACGUCCCUGCCCUUUGUACACACCGCCCGUCGCACCUACCGAUUGAAUGGUCCGGUGAAAUCUCGGGACGGCGGCUCGGUCGCUUGCGUCCGACUGCUGAAACUUGAUUAAACCAUAUCAUUUAGAGGAAGGUGAANUCGUANCA
rnacentral:rRNA from 1 species